UGUAUGUUUAUAUAUGUGUGUAUGUGUUUUUAUUGUGUAUGAAAUAUAUGUGUGGCCAUACAUACACACAUACACACACGUAUACACAUUUACA
rnacentral:miRNA from 10 species